GUUUAAUCCAAUUAAACCGUUAUUUCCUAUUGGGCGUUGGACCCAACUAUUCCGUUUGCAUACAAUUAAACAAAAGGAAUACAUGAAAUAAUAAUAAUAAGGGCUUAUGCCCUUUUACAACACAAAUCAAAUGAUGGACUUAUGUCCAUUUACAACAAAUUGAAUUAAUCAAAUUACAUUCAAAUCUACACUACCAAACCCAAACAUUAAUAAUGUAAAGCGGCCAAACACAUAGCUCAAUUAUCGUGGUCAUUGGUUCAUAAUCACCCUUUUUCUUAAUCAAUCACAUUAACUAAGAAAACAACUUUAAACAAUUGGUUUUUGGAUCCAUAGAAUUGAUUUAAAUGGAACUAAAUGAAAUGAAAAUCCAAUUCUCAUUAAAGAGACAAAACAAUUUUGUUCUCAUUUUAUUUGGGCCAAAAGGAAACUAUGACCACAACAAUUGGGCCAUAAUGCAAAUACAAAAACUUUUGGGGUCACUUUGAAAAACACAAAAGUCCACAACUUCAUGUAAUUUCAACUAGAACCCAAAAUUUUAUUAAUGUAAAAACAUCAUUAAAGGAUCAAAACAAUUUGUCCUUUAGAGUUUUUAAGCCUAAACGUAAAAACGUAAACUUUUGGGCCAAAGUGCAAAAACACAAAAUUAUCAAAACUUUAUGUAAUUGCACAAAAGACCCCAAAAGUACCCCCACUAGGGGGUGACCGGUUUUUAGAGGUGUGAAUGAGUGUGAAAGGGUUUUAUGCAAGUUGUGCAUGCAUGUGCAAAAUGCAAGUGGAUUUUGGUGGGUGAGUUAUUGGUGAAAUUAAUGGUUUGUAAGAAAAAUAAAGUUUAUGACAAAACAUUAAAACCAUUUCAUCACAUCUCACCAAUAACCAUCAACCAUCAAAAUAUAAACCAAAACUUUAUGAAAAACAUAAAACUUUUGAAUCAAAACUUCAAAACUUUAUGUUCUUGGCAAGAACUUCAAGAACAUUGAAGAACACCAUGAAAACUCAUAAUAGCUCCAUGAAUGUUUUUCACUCACCAAAACUCAAUUUUUCACCACUCAAAAGAGGGCUAAUAUCCUAGGGUACUUAGGGGUUCC
rnacentral:lncRNA from 1 species